rnacentral:tRNA from 1 species
GCCUCCUUAGCUCAGCUGGUAGAGCAACUGUCUUGUAAACAGUAGGUCCUCGGUUCGAACCCGGGAGGAGGCUCCA